rnacentral:lncRNA from 1 species
AACCAGGAAACCCCUGUAUGGAACAUUUAUUAAUUUGUCUGUCUCCACCACCAGUAAAUGCACUGCAGAACUUCUGACAGAAACUGUGGCUCAGUUAGGAGGGUACAGCUGAGAGCACCAUGAAUUAAAAUUGAGGAUGAAUUACAGAUGGCUAGGGAAAUCCUAACACAAGUAGAGGCAGGAGACCUGAUUACUUCCCACUUCUCCCAGCUCAUGCAGGUUAGUCUGUUCUGAGUGCCUCCUGCAGCAACUGCUGAGCCAUGCUCGUGCUCUCCAGUGUGGAAGGAGUGAUGUACUCUGAGCAUCCCAAUUAGGGAUUUGCAUCAGCUGCCGUGAGGCUGGGAGGAAGUUAUUGCUGUUUACAGCUCCACGCACCAGUCCCAGGGAACACGCUCCCAGCCACAGGAGUUUGCAAGAUUGCUGUUAUCAGCCCUAGCCCAGCCUCCCUGCUUAGCAAUGCCAGCACGCUGCCACCAAAUCUGAGCAGAGGUAUGUUUCUGUCUGCUGGCUCUGAAUAACUUCUCUUCACCCUCUCUCAGUUUUUGCAUCUGUAUUGCCUACCUCACUCUUUC